UACGUAGGGUGCGAGCGUUAAUCGGAAUUACUGGGCGUAAAGCGUGCGCAGGCGGUUGUGCAAGACCGAUGUGAAAUCCCCCGGGCUUAACCUGGGAACUGCAUUGGUGACUGCACGGCUAGAGUGUGUCAGAGGGGGGGUAGAAUUCCACGUGUAGCAGUGAAAUGCGUAGAGAUCGGGAGGAACACCAGUGGCGAAGGCGGCCUCUGGACCAAUACUGACGCUCAUGCACGAAAAGCGUGGGGGAGCAAACAGG
rnacentral:rRNA from 1 species